rnacentral:rRNA from 1 species
UACAGAGGUCUCAAGCGUUGUUCGGAUUCAUUGGGCGUAAAGGGCGCGUAGGUGGCGCGACAAGUCAGUGGUGAAAGCUCGACGCUUAACGUCGAGUCGGCCACUGAUACUGUUGGGCUUGAGCACUGUAGAGGCAGAUGGAAUUCCGGGUGUAGCGGUGGAAUGCGUAGAGAUCCGGAAGAACACCGGUGGCGAAGGCGGUCUGCUGGGCAGUAGCUGACACUGAGGCGCGACAGCGUGGGGAGCAAACAGG